rnacentral:rRNA from 1 species
UACAUAGGUGGCGAGCGUUGUCCGGAUUUACUGGGCGUAAAGAGCGCGCAGGCGGUCGUACAAGUCGCGUGUGAAAGCCCCUGGCUCAACUGGGGAGGGUCACGCGAUACUGUUCGACUCGAAGGCAGGAGAGGGAAGUGGAAUACCCGGUGUAGUGGUGAAAUGCGUAGAUAUCGGGAGGAACACCAGUGGCGAAGGCGACUUCCUGGCCUGUUCUUGACGCUGAGGCGCGAAAGCUAGGGUAGCAAACGGG